UUGCCUACGGGAGGCAGCAGUGGGGAAUAUUGCGCAAUGGGGGCAACCCUGACGCAGCAACGCCGCGUGAUUGAAGACGGCCUUCGGGUUGUAAAGAUCUUUCAUCGGGGACGAAUUUUGACGGUACCCGAAGAAUAAGCUCCGGCUAACUACGUGCCAGCAGCCGCGGUAAUACGUAGGUGGCAAGCGUUAUCCGGAAUUACUGGGUGUAAAGGGUGUGUAGGCGGGGCUGCAAG
rnacentral:rRNA from 1 species